rnacentral:rRNA from 1 species
UGGAGAGUUUGAUCCUGGCUCAGGACGAACGCUGGCGGCGUGCUUAACACAUGCAAGUCGAACGGAAAGGCCCUUUCGGGGGUACUCGAGUGGCGAACGGGUGAGUAACACGUGGGUGAUCUGCCCUGCACUUUGGGAUAAGCCUGGGAAACUGGGUCUAAUACCGAAUAGGACCGCAUGCUUCAUGGUGUGUGGUGGAAAGCUUUUGCGGUGUGGGAUGGGCCCGCGGCCUAUCAGCUUGUUGGUGGGGUAAUGGCCUACCAAGGCGACGACGGGUAGCCGGCCUGAGAGGGUGUCCGGCCACACUGGGACUGAGAUACGGCCCAGACUCCUACGGGAGGCAGCAGUGGGGAAUAUUGCACAAUGGGCGCAAGCCUGAUGCAGCGACGCCGCGUGGGGGAUGACGGCCUUCGGGUUGUAAACCUCUUUCAGUAUCGGCGAAGCUCCGGGAUUUUUCUUGGGGUGACGGUAGGUACAGAAGAAGCACCGGCCAACUACGUGCCAGCAGCCGCGGUA